CGUGUCUUGUCAGGAGGAACUCAGAGAGGCGGAGAAAUGAAGUCAGAAAACAGCUUCAAGCCAAGUUUGAUGUUUCUUCUGUUUGUUUUAGCACCCAGACCUCCUCGAUAAUCUCAUACUACUAGCAAACUGUGGAGCUGCUUUUUUGUCGAACACCAGUGAGACUGGAUGCUGUGCACACUUGCGGCGUGAAGGCUUACUUAUUCAUUUGCUGCAGCCUGGACAGAAACACCAGCUCUCACCUUACAAACCAAACAGGUGUCCUCACUUCGUCUUUGACAUCGUCCAUGACAUUGUCCACAAUCGCAGAGACGUCGUCUAUGAUCACAGAGAGUCUUUGUACAAUGAAGAAGUUCUUUGAGAACAGGACUGAGGCCUCCAGGUGACACCACUUCGACCACAUCAUCCACAACCGCCAAGACAUUGUUGAGGAUGAGGGAGACAUUGUCCAUGAUCGCAGAGACAUGCAAAAGUCGGUAGUGACAAGAGUUCCCCCAUUUUACAACAUUGUCCACGUUCAGAGAGACAUUGUCCACUGAUUGCAGAGUCUUCGUACGAUGACGUUCUUUGAGCUCAGGAUUGAGGCCUCCAGAUAAUUCUCAAACAGCUUAGCAUCAACUGUCCAACACAGAAUACUAACAUUAAAUUGUUUAUGUUCAGUAUUCAGUAUCAGAAAAGUGUAACUCAGAAGUAAUCAGCAAUAUAAAAUUAAUGUGUAAGCAAUAUCAGAAGUAAGAUGUAAUAGUCAAAGUAACCUGUUCCUAGAAGUAGUUUCCAACAGUAAAAGUUUCUGUGAAUUAAGAAGUAAUAUGUAGCAUAAAAGUGAUCUAAUCUAAUAUUAGGGGUAACAGUAAAAGUAAUCUUAAUUAAUGCAGAAGUUAUAGUAAUUCAAAUAGAAGUAAAAAUCAUGUCAUGUUAUAGUGAGGCAUCAAAAUGUCAUAGUAAUAUUAAGGCAUAAAUAUGUAAUGGCAUGUAUGGCAUAUAAAAUGUUAUAGUCUAGUAGGACAUAAAAAUGUGAAAAAUUGUCAUACUACAGUAAGGUGUCAAAACAUGCCAUACUGUGUGGUCAGUGUCAGAAAAUGUCAUACUGUCUCUCAAAUGUUAAGCAAAUUUGUAAUGUUACAAGCAUGUUCUGUCUCUGCAGGAGGAAGAGAAGACCACAUCACCUGAAGAGAACAAAAGUAGUUAAAUGUUCUUAAAGAUGUUUAGAGAUAUAUAAGACUUUAAUGAGCACCUUACAUGUGCUCAUUAUUACAUUAAAGAUGGGGUGAAAGAAUAAAACCAAGCGUCUCCAAGUG